rnacentral:misc_RNA from 1 species
GAAGUGCGAUAAGCAAUGCGAAUUGCAGAAUUCAGUGAAUCAUCGAAUCUUUGAACGCACCUUGCGCCCUUUGGUAUUCCGAAGGGCAUGCCUGUUUGAGUGUCAUUAAAUUAUCAACCUUGCUCGCUUUUACCGGCUUGAGUUAGGCUUGGAUGUGAGGGUUUGCUGGCUUCCUUUAGUGGAUGGUCUGCUCCCUUUCAAUGCAUUAGUGGGAUCUCUUGUGGACCGUUACUUGGUGUGAUAAUUAUCUAUGCCAUCUUGACUUUGAAGCAAAAUCUAUGGGAACCCGCUCAUAACCGUCUUCGGACAAUCUUUGACAUUUUGACCUCAAAUCAGGUAGGACUACCCGCUGAACUUAA